rnacentral:piRNA from 1 species
UACAGAAAAUGGUACGAACUAAGUGU